rnacentral:rRNA from 1 species
AUUGAACGCUGGCGGCAUGCCUUACACAUGCAAGUCGAACGGCAGCACGGGUGCUUGCACCUGGUGGCGAGUGGCGAACGGUUGAGUAAUACAUCGGAACAUGUCCUGUAGUGGGGGAUAGCCCGGCGAAAGCCGGAUUAAUACCGCAUACGAUCCACGGAUGAAAGCGGGGGACCUUCGGGCCUCGCGCUAUAGGGUUGGCCGAUGGCUGAUUAGCUAGUUGGUGGGGUAAAGGCCUACCAAGGCGACGAUCAGUAGCUGGUCUGAGGGGACGACCAGCCACACUGGGACUGAGACACGGCCCAGACUCCUACGGGAGGCAGCAGUGGGGAAUUUUGGACAAUGGGCGAAAGCCUGAUCCAGCAAUGCCGCGUGUGUGAAGAAGGCCUCCGGGUUGUAAAGCACUUUUGUCCGGAAAGAAAUCCUUGACUCUAAUACAGUCGGGGGAUGACGGUACCGGAAGAAUAAGCACCGGCUAACUACGUG